CAUUUAUCAGUGAUGUGUAUUAAUAAAUGUCUGAACAUAUGACUUGUCAGUGAUUCCUCUGUGAUUCUGAGAUAAAUG